CGAAUUCCUGAUACUCGAAUGAAUACCGAAAAUUUACUUAUUCAAAAAGACGUUUAAUUAUCUCGGGUUUAGAAAAGGGAUCGUGCCCAGUAAGUUAGGACAUGAUCUUUUUUUAUCCCCGAGAUCAUUUAAAACUUGAGUUUGAAAAGAUUCACGUAUUUAGAUUUAUUGCGAAAAUCGAAACCCAGUAAGUUAGGGUACGACCUUAUCGAAUCUAAACACGAGGUUUUGCUUA
rnacentral:lncRNA from 1 species